UGUGGGUGGAGUCCAAUUUUCUCAUAAAUGCAUCUGGAUUGUUUUUUACUUUGCUUGUUCAGGUCAAACUGUACUUCCUAUUUAUUUAACGUUAAUGGUGCAAAGUCCAAGAGAAGCGCGGGUUUCGUUUUUUAUCGAAACAAAUUGCACGCAACAUCCUCUUGCUUGUGUCUUUCUAUAGAAAAGAAACUCGUUUCCAAAUCCCAAUUAGUUAACCUUAAAAUAAAUAUUAUUUAAUCCUUCGUUUCUCUUCAUCGAAACAAAGAAGAAGAUGAAGUUUGGAGAGACAUUCAUGGAGUAUUUACACGGAGAACAAGAAGGGUGUUUGGACAAAUGUGCUCAUGUUGAGUACAAACGACUCAAAAAAGUGUUAAAGAAAUGCAGAAGCCAAGGUCCACCAUCCACUUCUUGCAACGACGAGCAGCAACAAGAAAGAGACAGUGAACAGAAUCACAGCUUGUCUCAAUUCUGCCAUUGCCAAUCUUGCGCUUUGUGUGAUCAGAUGUUCUUUUCCGAAUUGAUGAGGGAAGCUUCAGAUAUAGCUGGGUGCUUUAGUUCCAGAGUUAGACAUCUCCUCCAUCUUCAUGUUGCCAGGGGAAUGCAAAGAUAUAAACUUCGUCUACGUCAAUGUUUCAUAAAUGAUCAGCAGAUCAUGGUUGAAGAAGGGCGCAUGCUGAUUGAAUAUGUUACCAUGAAUGCAAUUGCUAUCCGUAAAAUUCUAAAGAAAUAUGAUAAAGUACAUUGCUCUAUAAACGGGAAGAAUUUCAAAUCCAAGAUGCGGUCUGAACAUAUAGAGCUUUUGCAAUCACCUUGGCUAAUAGAGUUGGGAGCCUUUUAUUUGAAUUUUGAUGGAAUAGAUGGAGGGGAGUUUAGUGAGUUUUGCAGUCGGUUUUCCUGUGAUCUCAGUGCUACAGAACCUGUUAUGACACUGAUGCUUCCAAAUUAUACAAAAUUAGAAUACGGCCUGACUUGUGCCAUUUGCUUGGAGAUGGUUUUUAAUCCAUAUGCUUUGAGUUGUGGUCAUCUUUUCUGCAAGUUGUGUGCUUGCUUAGCUGCUUCUGUGCUGAUGGUUGAAGGCCUUAAAUCUGCAAGUUCAAAUGCAAAGUGCCCUGUCUGUAGAGAGGAACUUGAGGCAACUACCUACUCUGAAGGUGCUUUUGGUGUAUCACCCGAGACACUGUAUAUUACUAGAGCUACCCUGUGCUCUUCAAGGCCCUCUUUUUUUUCAACGGCAAAGUUAUGCCCCACGCAGAUUGAUUCCCUGGUGUAUAAGAUUGUUCAAGGCAUAUUCUAAGUAGGAACUUGAAGCAGCUACUUACUCUGAAGGUGCUUUUGUUGUAUCACCUGAGACAAUGUGCAUUACUAGAGGUAUCUUGUGCUCUUCUAGGGCCUCUUUUGUUUCAACGGCAGAAAGGAAGUAGUCAUACACCAUGCAUGGUUGGUUUCUUACAUUGGGUGCAAUGGUUAUAAUAUCUUGGUGUGUACAAAGAAAAAAGGUUUCAGUAAGUUCAACUAUCUUGGGAUCUUCAAUGUUGCUAGUUGUCUUUCUUGUUUGCCAUGAGAGGUUUGCAGGUGGUGAAUCUUCCUUGGAAGCAUGGAUUGUUCUAACUAGUGCAGUAAUGAAAGACCUUACCUUUCAGGGAGUGGAUUGAGUCUGAAAAAAUUAUCCUUCUUUUCUUUCUAACAUUUAUGUUUCUGUCUCAUAAGAUUAACUAAUCAACCUGAAGAGAUCUGCUAUUUUACUUUGUUGGAGUGAACACUGCUUAAUAUAGGCUGGGGUAUACGCUAACGCAGUGCACAUGUUGGAACUUGAUCUGCUUGUGAAAAGAAGGUGCAAAGAGCACUGGAAGGAGAGGAUGGUUGCUGAACGUGCUGAGACCGUAAAGCAAACCAGGGAGUAUUGGGAUUUACAG